rnacentral:rRNA from 1 species
ACGGAAGGCAGCAGUGGGGAAUAUUGCACAAUGGGCGCAAGCCUGAUGCAGCGAUGCCGCGUGAGGGAAGAAGGUCUUCGGAUUGUAAACCUCUUUCAGCAGGGAAGAAGCAAGUGACGGUACCUGCAGAAGAAGUCACGGCUAACUACGUGCCAGCAGCCGCGGUAAUACGUAGGUGGCGAGCGUUAUCCGGAAUUACUGGGUGUAAAGGGUGUGUAGGCGGAGAAGCAAGUCAGGCGUGAAAUUUAUGGGCUCAACCCAUAAACUGCGCUUGAAACUGUUUCCCUUGAGAGUGGGAGAGGUAAACGGAAUUCCUGGUGUAGUAGUGAAAUGCGUAGAUAUCAGGAGGAACACCGGUGGCGAAGGCGGUUUACUGGACCACAACUGACGCUGAGACACGAAAGCGUGGGGAGCAAACAGGAUUAGAUACCCUGGUA